CCCUUAACUAGAGCAAAUGCGCAGCCGUAAGAGGCGUGUUAUGUGUUAUGCUGGAGGAGGGAGCCCCGGAUCGAGCAUGAUUAAAAACCCAGGUUUAUAAAAGUUAGGACGGGAGGAAGGAAGUUGCAGUUUCGCAGGCGCAAGGCCCCAUCUGCAUUGGCGUGCCACUGGUUUCUGAAGAUCGACCUUUUUACACACAAGUGUUCCCUUCAUCUCACAACCCAAGGCUCCUGUUUUAAUUGCUUUGUUUUAAUGUAAUUGUGUGUUUUUUGCAUAUUUUAAUUAUGAAUGUUUUAUAUGUUAACGUUGGGGGUCAUAAGUUCUUAGACUUGUACAAUGCUUAGGGUCCUAUUUUGGCUGCCUGCAGCAGAAUCUUAGAAGUCCAUACACCUUGCACUUCGAAAGAAGAUGGUUGGUGUGUGGCCCACAAUUGCCAACUGCGAUGGUGGCAGAGUGAAGAAAAUUAGCCAUUUCUUGUUCACAAAGUCAUUUUUGACUGACCCUGCUUGGAGUGAUGUUGGAAUAUGUAUGUGCUUUUUUGUUUUUUGUUUGCCCAGAGAGUGAAAAUGUUAGUUUGGGGCAUAUAGUAUGCUGGCUUUAGGUCAUGAGACAGAUAUAAUAAAGAUUGUUUUUAUACA